UAACGGUCGUAAGGACGUUUCGAUGUCUCGCGUCAUCUGCCCAGUGGUUUCAUUAGACCAAUUAUCACGCUGGUUAACCAAACUCGUAGCUGGGCAAAAAGCUCGUUAUAACGGUAGCCCGAAGAAACGCGCGUCGAGUGCACCUGGCAAAAUUGCAUGGGAAAAGUUACAUUGCCUUCGUAAUGAGCGAAGCUACAGUUGGUAGACGCGUUCCGGCUUUCCGCGGAAAUUAUUAUAACCCCGCGUAUAUACAAAGUGUCUGUGCUACUAAUAAAAACGGUCUUUUUAAUUAGAUGAUCACGGUUAAGAGAAUUCUCCAGUAGCUGUCAGCCGCGCGAGUGAGGUUAUGUUGGCCGUGAGUACGGCGAGUGCUUGAUACAAAUUAAAAUCUAGAGUGAGACAUUUACAAACAAUGCAUUAUUUAUUUCAUUCGAGUUAAACACGUCGACAUUAAUUUUUGGAAAUGCAUACGAUUUCCUACGUCUGCUAAUUAACCAUACGGAACGAACAAGGUUUUAGAAUUUCCAUCUGUUACCAAAUUAGUCAGACCUAGAAUGUCUGUUACGCUAUGUACAUGGGCUUACACGGUAGUAAAAUCCGCGCAUGCGCAACCCGUGGCCAUGCACUAUUUGCAUAGCAGUCGAAGGAUCAAAUCCGCAGAUAACUUUUUUGCACAAUUUGAAACAGCGCAAAGACAAGAAACCAAGAUUACACGGGUCCUCGUACCCGAGCAACGGUAGCAAUGGCAUCGCGAUGGUAAUUUCGCAAAAGCAUCCAAGAGAGCACCCCACGAGGAUAUAAAUUCGGGGAAAGACGGCGGAAACGUAAAAGAGAGCAUAAAAUCCCGCUCUGAAGGCCGUCUCGCUUGAUACAGUCCCAAGGGUUAAGCGCGACGGGCUUUAAAAGAUUAAGAAACGUCCAAUAGCCGAGUGACAGGUGGAGGAAGAAAAUUAAAAAAAAAAAUUUCAUCCAAAGACUCUGCGAGAGAACCAAAAAAAAUGGCGGCCACGUAUUUUACAAUUGGUAAACCCAGCAGAGACCACGCCGUAAGGGGAUGGAUGAGUAAAGACCGGAGGGGUAAGAAAAAUAAAAUAUAAAUAAAGAUACAAGUGGAUAAUUGAAUUACAGAAAGAAGAGCUAUGGCGGUGCCUGAACUCUCUUGUGUUCAACCUGGGGGUUGAAUUGCGACACAGGGUUCGCAUGUGAACGAUCCCCCCGAGCAAUACACCCUUCACUCGACGUGCAGCUCUCGCGUCGCCUACACCGCCCGAAAAUAGACGACUACCACGCUCCAUGCAUAUGCAGCUGAAGAUCUCCGAGAGGCCAACGACAGAGACUAUGCAUCGGGAUGCACCGAAGUAACGGUCGGGUCUGCGUGCGUCAGACAGAGACAAGGAGAACGGACUACAAGGGGUGGGAAGGAACAAUACGUUCGACAGAGAGGUACCUCUACGUAUGCUCCACAUAGAGUUCACCUGGCACGUGACGAGCAACCGAAUCGCUCUGGCAUCAUUGUGAAAGGGUAGAGAUGUGACUUAAUAGAUAUACCUAUUGUGAAAAUUGGAACAGCAGUGCGGAAAUCAGUGUACCGUGGGUGCCUGGUGGGAUCGGUGGGAAAAUUUUAGUGCAUCGACAGUGGAUAAAAUGUUCCACAAAGUGACUUAUACCGGGUGUACAAAUAUUAAUCAGCCGAUAAUACGAACGACAGGUACUUUUUAAGCGCAGCUGCACCUAUAUGCAACGAAGAAGUGCAAUCGAUAUGAAAAUCAUACAUUUAAUAAGAUACAGGAUUUCUCAUUUAAAAUUAGACUGCUAAAGUUUUCCAGUACCACCCGAUAAGCCGGUAAGUCUUAUUAACGUGGAUGACAGCGAUCGAUACGAGAGAGACUUAUUGGACGGAUGGAUAGGAGCGAGAGAGAAAAAAGGGAGCAGAGCACAGGGGAGCGAAAGAGUAAACUGAAAAUUCAAGUGCUUCGUUUUAAUGCGCUCAAAGUGUUCAAAUCGGAGGAGUCACUUUUUAAAAAAUUUAUAAGAGCCCCAACACUUGCCCGUCAAUGCUUAUCACUCUUAUGAACGUUUAAAAAGUGAUUACGGCAAAUUAAAUACCUAGUGUGUUAAUACGAGGCACUUGGAUUGCCAGUGAAGUGGUGAAUCUCGCAUAUAUCUCUGGGGGGGGAGGGGGGGAAUAUCUCUGGUCCGGAGGCUGAGGUAAAAAUAGCAUGUAAAUAAAUCUGAUACAGCAUAAACUAACUCGCGUGUCUAAUAAAUAUAUUUGGCUUA